rnacentral:misc_RNA from 1 species
GUAGGUGAACCUGCGGAAGGAUCAUUGCGAGAGGUAAUGGUCUCCAGGGGGCUAAGCCGCCUGGGGGAUAUUUGGUCGUCCGGAGUGACACGUGACAUUAAGCGGGUCACUUCAGACAAUACCAACGCGUAUUGGUGUGUCAGUUGAUUGUAUAAGAAAAGAUGGAAAACUUUUAACAAAGGAUCUCUUGGCUCUUGCAUCGAUGAAGAACGCAGCAUCUGACUGACUGAACUGUAUCUCAUCUCGUAUG